rnacentral:rRNA from 1 species
UGAACGCUGGCGGCGUGCCUAAUACAUGCAAAUCGAGCGAACGGACGAGAAGCUUGCUUCUCUGAUGUUAGCGGCGGACGGGUGAGUAACACGUGGAUAACCUACCUAUAAGACUGGGAUAACUUCGGGAAACCGGAGCUAAUACCGGAUGAUAUUUUGAACCGCAUGGUUCAAAAGUGAAAGACGGUCUUGCUGUCACUUAUAGAUGGAUCCGCGCUGCAUUAGCUAGUUGGUAAGGUAACGGCUUACCAAGGCAACGAUGCAUAGCCGACCUGAGAGGGUGAUCGGCCACACUGGAACUGAGACACGGUCCAGACUCCUACGGGAGGCAGCAGUAGGGAAUCUUCCGCAAUGGGCGAAAGCCUGACGGAGCAACGCCGCGUGAGUGAUGAAGGUCUUCGGAUCGUAAAACUCUGUUAUUAGGGAAGAACAUAUGUGUAAGUAACUGUGCACAUCUUGACGGUACCUAAUCAGAAAGCCACGGCUAACUACGUG